CACUAUUAGAAUUCAUUAAUAGCUCAUCCUGCUCAAUGAAAUUUAAAUUGCCGCUUUUCUGUGCUAAGGUAGCACAAUAAAUUGCCUUCUAAUUAAAGGAUAGAAUGAAAGGAUAAACGACUUAAUAACUUUAUUAAAUUUAAAUAACAAAAUUUACUUAAACGUAAAAAGGCAUUUAUAACUUAAAAAGACAAAAAGACCCUAUCGAACUUUUAUUAAUAAUUAGACUGGGGUGGUCCAUAACAACAACUUACUUAUUAAUACUAUAACGACCUUUUAUAAUUAAUUACAAGAACAAGUUACCGUAGGGAUAACAGCGUAACAGAAUUUCUAAGAUCUUAUAUAAAAUUCUUUCUGCGACCUCGAUGUUGAAUAAAAUAACUUUUUUAAGCAAACAAAAAAAAAGUAGGUCUGUUCGACCUUUAAAAUUUUACA
rnacentral:rRNA from 1 species